rnacentral:rRNA from 1 species
AUGUCCGGUCUGGACACCAUACUUGUGCGAAGGGACGACAUCGUGGGACCCGAGUCGAUCAAUGAGCUCGACAUCAUGGUACGGAGGUACUGCAGGAAUCAGAGAGUCCCCGGGCUGGUUGAGGCGAGCUAUUCCACUUCACCUGCCACAGCUUCGCACAGUCGGUCGUGUGCCGCACACCCUCCAUGCUCGCAGUGUCCCACCGACGAUAGACAUGUUACGGUGGGCUACCUCCGGACGGCGACGGGUCAUGUCAAACGGCGUGCGCGUUUAAUUUCAAGCAAGUGGUACACGCGCGCAGUAUCCCUGCUUCUUCUCCUCCCACGGGCUGGAACAUUCAGCCGAGCUGACCGCGACACCUUUGUCCCAUGGAAAAACCGGGGAAUAGUGCCCGACAGGUUCGUGUUUGAUUAG